AAUAGAUACCCCGGUAGUCCGCGCCGUAAACGGUGGGCACUAGGUGUGGCGGGUAUCGACCCCCGCCGUGCCGUCGCGAACGCAUGGAGUGCCCCGCCUGGGGAGUACGGCCGCAAGGCUAAAACUCAAAGGAAUUGACGGGGGGCCCGCACAAGCAGCGGAGCGUGUGGUUUAAUUCGAUGCAACGCGAAGAACCUUACCAGGGCUUGACAUGGCGCGUUCAGCCGGUGAAAGCCGGUGGCCGCGAGGCGAGCGUCACAGGUGCUGCAUGGCUGUCGUCAGCUCGUGCCGUGAGGUGUUGGGUUAAGUCCCGCAACGAGCGCAACCCCCGGGCCCAGUUGUGUUUCUGGGCCGACGGCCGGGACCAACCCGGAGGAAGGUGGGGACGACGUCAAGUCAGCACGGCCCUUACGCCCUGGGGCCACACACACGCUACAAUGGCCGGUACAGCGGGCGGUGCGAAGCCGCGAGGCGGAGCGAAUCCCUGCAAAGCCGGCCGUAGUGCAGAUCGGGGGCUGCAACCCGCCCCCGUGAAGCCGGAGUUGCUAGUAACCGCGGGUC
rnacentral:rRNA from 1 species